ensembl:lncRNA
CAGCAAUGCACUGCAAGUCCUUCCUUGCAAAGCUCGUGCUUGGUGUGAGAGCUGCUCCACGCUCCAGAACACCAGCAGGAAUUUCUUGUUAUUCUCCAUGAGGCCAGGAUGUUACCCUCCUUGUCCCAGAGCUUACCAAGAAUUGUUAGAAGCUUUCUCCUUAAUGAAGAAGCACAGAAACUUGCCUGAUGUGGGACAGCCAUCAGAGCCUGGCAGGCAGGCCACCAGCUGCCUUUCACCAACCACUGUGUGCCCCUCAGCUUCACUGCUGGCUUCACCCCUACUCACCCUCCACCAUCAUUUGCAGAGCUAGUCACGAGAUGUAAAGGUUGCUCCAGGACCUCAUGAGAUGAUGGUUACAAACCUUCCCACUGCGCCCAUAGCUGUUGUCCCUGAUCAUCGCUUUCACUCCCAUAGAUGCCUCCUGAUGCACUGAUAUGUGCAUCUUGAUUUCAUAGAAUCAUGGAACCAUUUGAGUUGGAAGGAACAUUUAAAGGCCAUCUGGUCCAACUGCCCUGCAAUGAGCAGGGUCACCCACAGCUCCAUCAGGGCUCAGAGCCCCAUCCAGCCUGAGCUGAGUGUCUCCAGGGAUGGGGCACUGCCAUCUCUCUGGCAAAGAGAUGUGUUUCCUUUUAUAGCAGAGCGUUCCAG